rnacentral:sRNA from 1 species
CCCUAGCCCUGAUAGAAGUGAAAAUCCUUUUGUGCCGGGGUUCGGCACAAAAGAUUGAAACAAAUAGCGGGAAACAGC